GAGAGAACGUACUAAUUGAGAUUGAGAUGAAGAGACGAGAGGUGACGCUGACAUUGAUCGGUCGAGUAAAGAAAAAUAACUUUGACUUUAAGAUUGUAAAAGUAAAUGUAAUUUGUUCUGAGGUGCUACAUUGGCGAAAUCUUUUCCAUUUACAUCUCUGAGAUUGACUUGGAUUAUAUUUGCGUUUGUGAGUUUGAGACCAAACGGAUUUGGACAGGUUUUUUUCCCUUUGAAGACAUCUGAAAUUUGAUUUCAACAAGAUGGCGAGCCACCCAACAAACCACCGAGGAGAACAGAGACUGUUGCUAUAUAUCAGCGACCUGUAAAGGAAAGCAAAUUCACCUGGGUAUUCUCCAUCCUGGUAGGACUGUAAAGACUGCUAUAUUUUCCUUCCUGCAGACAGCAGUUGGACUGAGUGACUGACUGUAACCAGAAUUGUGCGUACAGAAUUGUGAAACCAACUUUGAGAAUUUUGUAACUUUUGUGCAUUUUCUUAUUUAUUUUUUAUUUUUUCCCUUCUUGAAUGUUGAGUUUGGUUAUCUAUCAUUUGUGUUAGAACAAAGAAAAAGGUUACUUUGAAGCAGUCUAAAUAAUAGUGCAUAACAGAAACCACUGAAUAAGAAAAGAACCAAACUUAAAUUGAUUAGGCCUAAAAGCGAACAUAAACUUUAUUAGAUCUGAACUAAAUAGGAUAAAACAACUAGGUGAACAAAACUAGUUAAAUUAGCGCGUUAUAGAAGGAAACCUAUAGGAAAAAAAGGUAAACAUUCAUUUGAUAUAUUGCUUUAUUUUUAUAUUGUUUUCCCUUAUACUGUGGAUGGUAAUGUAUUUAUUUUCUUUGUAUUGUGUGUGAAGUGAGGUUUAUGAGUGCACUGUUUGUCAAUAUAAGCCGGCAGUUAUUCAAACACA